UGUAUUCUUGCUACAUCAAUACACAGGAAGAAUCCAAGCAGAUGCCCGGAACAGUAAAUGAAGCCCAGACAAUAGUGACUGUGCUGGAAACUGAGCUACUUUGGACAGCACAAUGAAUAUGCGGUAUUUCAGCCAAUUUGUGUUCCUCCUGGCUAAUUCUGAAUAGAAUGUGCACAGCAAG